AAUCUUCAAUCUAUUCCACUGUUGUCCAGGGAAGUAGAAUUACUGGCUUCAAUGUACUCCACUAUAACCACAGGGAGGUAAAAUUCGCCAUCUUCGAUCUGCUCCACUACUGCUUAGAGAGAUAAGACCUGAAAUCUUCAAUCUAUUCCACUGUUGUCCAGGGAAGUAGAAUUACUGACUUCAAUGUACUCCACUAUAACCAUAGGGAGGUAAAAUCCGCCAUCUUCGAUCUGCUCCACUACUGCUUAGGGAGAUAAGAUCUGAAAUCUUCAAUCUAUUCCACUGUUGUUCAGGGAAGUAGAAUUACUGGUUUCAAUUUACUGCACUAUAACCACAUGGAGGUAAAAUCCGUCAUUUUCGAUCUGCUCCACUACUACUUAGGGAGAUAAGAUUUGAAUUCUUCAAUCUAUUCCACUGUUGCCUAGGGAAGUAGAAUUACUGGCUUCAAUGUACUCCACUAUAACCACAGGGAGGUAAAAUCUGCCAUCUUCGAUCUGCUUCGCUGUCAAUGCAGGAAGGCAAGAUCUGCUAUCCUUAACCUGCUCCACUACAACCGAGGAAGGCAAGGCUUUGUUUUCGAUCUGCUUCGCUGUCGAUGUAGGAAGGCAAGAUCUGUUAUUUUC
rnacentral:lncRNA from 1 species